UCUGGUUCUCUGUAGAGAGAACAACAAAACAGAUAUCCAAAUAUGUAGGAAAAACAAUUUUAAUAAUUUAGUUCAAGUCGAUUUAAAUUCUUUGCUUGGUUUUAGCUUCAUUUGGUUUUUCGUGUAAGUUGUCUCCCCUACUACAAAAUUCCUCCUCUCUUAAUGCAUUCUCCUUCAGUCGAGCCGGCUCUAAGAAUAUCUAGAGCAGUCGAAGGACAGAUCUGUUAUAGUAGUUGUAAAUACUGGAGAUAUCUCCAGCCUUAACCUUUCUACCUUCAAAUAUCAGACUAAAUAGUUCAAGGAAACUCCCCAAAUUCAGGUGUUCAAUGUACGAUGUCAACUGGAUAGCGUGCUGCAAGACUGCUUCUUUCUUUGAAUACUAUAAUAAGUUUUAUCAACUGUUUAAUUAGAUCGCAUCAACUAGUAAAAAUCCCAGCAGGAACUUAAAAACUAA